CUCAGCGGCAGUCAGCUGUGCAGGCCUGUACCGUGCCUGAACCAGUGUUACUCUGCUGGGAGAGGAAGGGGCUGCCGCUGAUGCCUGGCUCUGGGAGACACUGUCCUAGUGGCUGCCGAUGCCAGGCUGUGGCAGCGCCGCGUCCCUCUGAGAGUGGGCCGCGUCCGCUGGGGCGGCCCUAGUCUGGGGGCAAACAUU
rnacentral:snoRNA from 1 species